GCCCGGCUAGCUCAAUGGCAGAGCGCGAGACUUUUAACCUAUUUCAUAAGGUCGGAAUCUUGAGGUUGCGGGUUCGACCCCCGCGUCGGGCU